AUAAAAGUUUUAUUUUGUUCCAUUUUCGUUAAUUUUUUCGCAUUGCAUUCAACAGGCAAUAAAUUUCGUCCUUCUAUAAAAAAUAUAUAUAUUUAUAUAUGCAUACAACUACUUCCUUCCUGGGCACUUAUGUGUUUGUUACGACGCUGUCCGGAUUUCAUUUACGCUCACUGUAGUUGUCUUUUGUCAUAACUUAAUUUAGCAUGGUGCUUUCCAAUUCAAAUUUACAUUGGAUAGCAAAAAAGUUUGAAAUGCAUUGCAGAUAAAUUCCGAUUUGAUUUGUCUUUAAUUAAUAUAACUGUCUCCAUUUAACCAUAUGUUCCUGAUACCCUUAAUAAUAUUUUUUCUGAUAGAAAAAGGGUACUGCAAUGUCCCAUUUGAAUUUCAGGAAAGUUUAUUAUUUUUCACAAGAAAAAAAAUGCUGCAGCUGCGUGUAAAUUUUUAAUAACUACCGAGAACUAAAGCGAAAAACACCUGAUGACAAGUUUUAAAUGGUUUCAUAAAUCUUUAAUAAGAAAUUGUUUAUUUAAAGAGUUCGGUUAUCCGCAGACAGAAAAUAACAAUCGUGAAGUUAGUCAAUCAAUGUCGAUACGGCAGUUCGGAAAGGAGGGGAACUCGCAUUCCAAUCAGAAAGCAAUCGAACAAUAGUUGACAGUUCGUGGUCGUCAUAUUUUUCUCGAUACACGGCGGGCAGUGGAGUGGCCGCGUUUGUUGGUAAAAUGCAUUGAAAUUGUUUUAAAAACCAGCCACAAGGCACUCUAUUGGUAACACAACGAAUACAUGGUGCAAUUUUUCGAAUUGGGCACGUGCAAGUUAUAGAAUUUAGGCGUGAACUCUCCAUUCGAGAGUUGUCGAAACCUGACAGCUAUUGUGAAGGCGAGUGCAAAUUUUUCCCCCACAUCUGAAGCAAAUCUAGUUGGCCCCUUCUGACCAGUGAUCUGUGUCGAAACAAGUGUUUAGCAUAGGCAAAUGAACAGGACAACAAUACCGAAAUUGUGUACUCACGGGCUCGGGCAACAUAUCGCCGUGCAGUCCAUUUGUUGAGAAACGUCGCCUGGACUGACGGUAGCCCAGAAACGUUUUGCGCGAUUAACGGUACAAUUGUGUGGAAAUCUAGUGAAUUUGCAUAAUCCGUGAAAAUCGAGCGAGAGUAGAAGCGCGUGGAGUCAAUGGUCGCAGCGCGACUUCCCAGCUGUCGCGGAAAAUGGAUGACUUGGGUGCGGAGCAUUUGAGUCAACUGUCGUCAUCUUCGAGCAACACCGCCAGCAAAAAGUCGGAUUCAUGUGCAAUUUUCGAUAGCUCGUCUGCGGCGGGUGCACCCACAAAUCAAGUUGCCACUGCAGUCGAGAAGGAUGCAAAAUCGGCAGCGCAAAUGCAUCUGGGUGGCCGCGAACGAGACGGCAAGCGACUGGUGACAGAUGCCAGCGGAGCGACGUGUGUUGCGAGCAACAACGGUGACAAUGUUGCGGGCGAUGCGAGCAACGGUCGGGCCCGUGUUGCUGCCGUGGAUGCACCUGUGGACGACGAUUCUGACGGGAAGGAAAAGGCCGACGUAACGCCAGAGAAUUUGAAAAAAAUCGUGGAUGAUGUCAUGAGCACACCCUCCUCUGGUCCACGCGACGCUGAAGUGGAAGCGGACACGCCAGGGAGCAAGAGUGCAAGUGAUGGAAUUUCGUCGCCCACCACAUCGGCCGACCAGGUGUCUGACCAGGUAGCGGUGGACGACACGGCGACGGGGGACUUGCAAAUUGUUGAGGAUGAAUCACCGACGAAACAAGCUCUGGCUUUUACCAUCGACUUUAGUGAUGGCAUGGAAAAGAAUGCGGCCGCGGCGGCCGCCACUUCGCAAAAGUAUCGCAACAUGGUCGAACGCUUUCAGAGUCGUCAUCGUCGCGGUGCUUCCAUGUCGAAAAUUGAGGAUCAGCCGGCCCCUACCACUCCGGUGACGGGGCGAACACCUCGCGUUGGGUCGGCACAAAGUGUACGCCAGAAAACAGGUGAAACGAGUGAAGCCAAUAAAGUGAAAAUGAGAAUUCGUGAUCAAAGUACUUCCGGUGUGAGGGACGCGAAUAAGAGGCACAGCUGGUCGCCCAGAUCCAGCACGCAUGAACCGCUUGAACCACAGAAACCAAAGGAAGUGAAACAGGUUGAACCUGCACGACCUAGUCGCCGAAACAUCACCACAACGACAACUACAACAAAUUCGAUAGCACCCCAAAACGUAAAUGUCAAAGACGAACAAAAUACAAAAUUUGCCCCUCGAUCAACAGCAAUGCAGCUAGCUCUGAACAAAGUUGAAUUUUCGUGUCCCCAGCCACCCUUAGAUGAUAUCCGUAAGCAAAAGAAGCUAGAUGAUGAUGAAUCAGUCAGUGAGGCGGGCACAUACACCGUUGAUGGUGAUAAUUAUACCGAAGAACAAAAGGAAUUGAUGAACAUCGAUAAAUCAAACAAAAGUCCUGAACGGCGCCGACUUCGUUACCAUGAAGAUGAGCAACUACUUACGGAUACUGGACAGAGCCGUCCAACUGAUCUUCCACUCCAUUUGUCCUCAUCGAUUGAAAGUCGACGUCGCAAUAACGUUUUAGAAAUAAGUUAUUAUCAUGAUUCAACUAGUCUCAAGCCGAAGAUAUCAUAUUUAGAAAAAAUUAAGUCGCGCGUGAAAAGUAUUACUAAAUCACCUGAUAAACAAGAAAAUCCGAUUGCCGACCGUGGGAUGUUCACAAGCGUAACCACAAGUGGUGUUCUUAGCAAAAAGCCAACUUUAGACGCACGGCCGAAGCUUCAAAGAAAAAAUAGUUUAACGAAAUCGCAUAUCGACAGCUCGGAAUACGUUAGCGCAGAUACCAGUUCAAAAUCCAGCGCAACUGGAAGUAGUGUAAUGCAGAGUUACCCAAAUACCGCUUUUACGGAUCAUCAAAAGGCAGAAUAUAAACUUAAUGUCUUUGCGAAACAAUCUGAACACUUCACCGGUGAAAUAACACCACUUCAAACUCCAGAAUCUCCACCAGGUGUAGUUGAUUUACCGGACACUACCGUUCUAAAGACCGCACAAACUAAAAGCGAUUGGAUACAGGAGUGGGCACGGAACGCUCGAGCCCGUAGUGCAACGGUCAAGAGCAAUAACUCCGAUCAAAUGUCCCGCAGUUUCAACUUUGAAAGUUGCGAAGAUUCUAUGUUAAGUGACCCGAUUGCAUAUCACUCGAAGCAAAUUGAUCGAUACCGGCACCAUAGGAUGGGUGAUAUGGAGUAUGCUAGCGAUACGAAUUUAUCAAACCGAAAAAUAAUUCCUGGCUAUGACUAUCAAAAUGUUUGUAUGGGCAAUGGAAACGUAACUGCACGUCCACCCUUGAGUCCAUCGAAAAUUCCGUCACCUGUACACACCGUUGGUCGAACUCGAGCCGUGAAUCGUACACGGGGCAGUCUUCAGGAUCUCUCCCCAAAUGCAUACACGCCUGAGACGGAUGUUUAUUUACAGAAGACUGCAGCAGCGAUUUCGAAUUUAGCACAAAGUUUAAGUCGCAAAAAUUCCUUGCAAAGUUCACCAUCGAGUAAUAAUAAUUCACCGCGGCGUGGAGACGUUUACCAGCCAUGUCAUCAAAGCCAACACUACUCAGCCGAUGAAUACAGUCCCACUCACAAUAAUCAUCAUCAUCAGCAAGGAUUACACAAACGUCACUUAUCGCAAGGUGACUAUCGAACAAACUUAAUGUCACACAGUCUAAAUAGCGACCAGCUGAACGGAAUGCUGGUAGAUUAUAGAAGCAAGCAGCAUCAACGUCCACGACAGCGUCAGAAUUCUUUCGAUGCGGCUAUGUACUCGCCAAGACGUGUAUACCCUUCUCAGCCAUUGGGACAUUCAAUACACCAACAUCCUGGCAAUUUUAUUGAACAAACUAAUCCAUCGAUCAAACACCAACCGCAGCAACAAUCUCCCAUUCGUCGGUCGAGCUCUUUUUCGAACAAAGUGCAUGCUCUAGGGCGCACCAAAGGUAUUGCAAACCAGUCUGGAUCGAACAAAGGAGCGCAAUCUCGUCCACCACUCACCAAUAAGAACACCAUUCAGAAAUCAGCAAGUAGCACCAGUUUUAGGAAAAUGUACAGCGACUACGACGAUAACAUUGAAUAUUAUAUCAAUGACGAAGAUGACCUCGUUGAUGAUUAUUGUUCUUCAGAUGAAUUCGAUGAUCCGAAUGAAUAUUAUGCUGGAGAAGCACCUGCUGUUGAACCGGUUGAACCAUUAACCAAUACCCGGUACAAUAAGGCUUUACUUAUGCGAAUUGAGCGAAGCAAACAGAAAGUCGCUGGUAAUAAUCCAUCAACAGUAGCGUCUCAAGGAAAACCCCUUACGGGUGGCGUGAUAGCAUGCCCUAAUACCCCCGAAAUGCCACGACGUUCCGCACAAAAUGCGGUUAGGUCAUCACUUCGGCAAUCUGUACCAAGAGAUUCUAGCUUAAAUCGUUUACGUGGAGAAGUUCCGAACUCCUUGGCGUCGGCUAAGAAGCAACUUCUACAGACGGCCACUCAGAACUCUGUAUCGAAAAAGGUUCAACCUAAGUAUAUGGAUAUUUCGAAAUACAAAACAAAUCAGUCAGGAAAUUUCCUUCGUAAGGAUGGAUCAAAGAGCACCUUAGUGUCAACACCACGAAAUGAAAUCAAGAGAAGUCCAAGUAGUGCUUCCGUUGUGCUGAAUCGCAGCGAUCCAGUCCGGGCGAGUAAUCGGAGUGUAAAAUCUGCUGGCGGGAAACCAAGUGGUAAUCCAGUUGCUAAGCAGAAAGAAAAUGAAUUAGCAAUGUGGCGUCGACGAGCCACCUACGAUCCAAUGAAAGCUGCCGCCGAAGGGCGUCGGAAGCAAGAGGAAGCCAAAAGAACAACCCAACCAAAAACUUCAGAUAGACAAACAAUCGAUUCCUAUCGAGGGGAUUUUUGACAGGGUCUUCUAAUCACAGAUUUCUAGUUACAUCACAAGCCUAGACACGACACAACAUGUACAAAAAAUUUAUGACAGAUGAUAAAAAAAAUUAUACAAUUUUUCCAAAAUCAAAAAACAUCCAACAACUCCUGCAAGCCAAAAUACAUGAAAAGUAAAUGCGAGGAAGCUAUAUAGCUAUAUAUCAUACUUUAAAAUAUUUGAUUAUCAUAUAUAAUACUAUAGAAAUGUGCAAUUUUAUCUCUUCAAAUGAUAGUUUAGUGCGUAAUGAUAAUAUAUCCUAGAUCAGAGGAAGAAUCCAAUGUGUAAAUUAUAUUGACAUAUUCUAGCAAUCAAAAAAGAAUCAAUGAAAGUAGUAUUUAACUUGAAUAGAUGUUUUAUAUAUUGUACGUGUAAUUAAAAAAUGAUGGCAUUAUAUGGGAGGUCGAGGUGGAAAAUCAAAUCAAUAAUAAUGAUAAUAAACCGGGGAGAGACAAUGAAAGUGAUAUUAAAGUUUUACUAUAGUGAUAUGAAAUCGAAUAGGGUCUAGCGAAAAGCAGAGUGAACAAUUUACCUUCAAGUUAGGAAAAGUUGAAACCAAUUAAAAAUUCUAAAAGUAGAUAUUUCAACUAUUUACGUUUUCGAAAGAUACUGGUAUCUCUAAAAUAAUUUAAAACACUUCAGGUUCAACUGUCGUUUAAGUUCUGUUAGCAGGGAAACGUAGCGAAAUUCAUCGUCCAAAAUUAAUUUUCCAAUAGAAUUUAGUUUUUUCAUGCUCAGGCAAUUGUUUUCAGAUAAACAGAACCGCACUUUGUAGAAUGAAUUGUGAUUGGCGUGACAAAUGAUUCAGUAGAAGAACAUUUAUUGCACAAAAUGAUUACAUUAAGAAAGAAAAAUGAAGCCAUUUUAUGAAGAAAAUAUUAGAGCAAACGAAAUUAUUUAAGAAACUUAGAUAGAUGUCCUUUCAAUUAUGGAUCUGAUCUUUUAUUUAUUUAUAAUUAUCUUUUGAAACUCGGAUUUUAUUAUUUUGGUUUUCAAUUUGUUUUUAUUGAUAUUGUUUCGUUUAAUUUUGUAUUUGCUUACAAAUGGUCACUCCAAUUGUCCAAAAGACGCUGUGCAAAAUCACAAUCCAAAUAUACCUAACAAGAAUUCAGUUAAUUUUUAGAAUAUCUCUUUUUUAAACGAAUACAUUUAUUACCGUAAUGGUGGAUUAGAUGACUUUAAAGCCCCCAAAAGCAACUGGAAUAGAACUUACAUGGUUAGAUACAUUUGAAAGAGCUAGUAAAAAGUUUAGAGUGAAAUUCCAGAAAACCAAAAACAAUAAAUAUGAACAAAUUCUCCAGAGACCAAAAAGAAAUGUAAAACAAAACUUUGAGAUAGUUACAAUUAAUGUGUACCGUUAGUCUAUUAUAUUUAGCUAUGCUAGAAAAAGAAAUUGAUUUACAGAAGAAUACUCAUUUUCAAAUUCGUUUUCUUUCAAAGAAAAUUAAAUCAUUAAAACCAGAAGUCAUAAGCAUAUAUACAUACUGCAUAGAAUAAAUGGAAAGGAAUUUCGAUGAAAUCUUCUUUUGUUAUCGAUUUGUUGUCUAUUUUAGUUUGAAUAACUAAAACUAUGACCGCCGAAAUGAAAAUAUAAAUACGAAAGAAACGGCUUUGUAGAGCGAUGUUAUGUGGGAAACACUGAAUUGGAACUGAAAACAAAUAUCCAAACAAACCAACUGCUUCUAAUAAGCAUAUAUAGUAUUAUGUUAAACUCAUUAAAUGUUCGAAAGUUUCAAAACAAUUGAAUAAAAAUCAGACAACUCAAAAUUAUCCAUUGUGAGAAUUCAUAAGUCGCUCUAUAAACCUCGUUUACAUAUGUAAAUGCAUACAUAUGUACACAAACGAUUCAAAUACAAUAUUCAAACUACAUAUUUUUGAUGGAUUAUUGAAUAUAUACAUACAUGCAAACAGUAUAAAAUUACGAGAAUAAAAUAUGUAAAGAAGAAAACCAGAUCUAGGAUCAUCUUAAAUAGAAUCGAAUUAAACUUUAUAGUAUUAGCAGAAUAUGUAAAAAAUACGUCCUGAUUUUGAUCACAUUUAUGUAAGCAUAUACUUUUAUCUUUAUAUCGUUGUAAUUUCAACAGAAUAAAUAUUGUGUAUUGUUUUUAUACAUUUUAUUUGAAUGUAGAAAAGUUUAAAUUCAAUCUAUAAUUUAUAUUGUAUUAAAUCGCUUUUCUAUUAAAGAAACAAUUGUUUUUAAAAAUC
rnacentral:misc_RNA from 1 species